UGCAGCUCAGAUUGAACGCUGGCGGCAGGCCUAACACAUGCAAGUCGAGCGGUAGAGAGGUGCUUGCACCUCUUGAGAGCGGCGGACGGGUGAGUAAUGCCUAGGAAUCUCCUGGUAGUGGGGGAUAACGCUCGGAAACGGACGCUAAUACCGCAUACGUCCUACGGGAGAAAGCAGGGGACCUUCGGGCCUUGCGCUAUCAGAUGAGCCUAGGUCGGAUUAGCUAGUUGGUGGGUAAUGGCCUCACCAAGGCGACGAUCCGUAACUGGUCUGAGAGGAUGAUCAGUCACACUGGAACUGAGACACGGUCCAGACUCCUACGGGAGGCAGCAGUGGGGAAUAUUGGACAAUGGGCGAAAGCCUGAUCCAGCCAUGCCGCGUGUGUGAAGAAGGUCUUCGGAUUGUAAAGCACUUUAAGUUGGGAGGAAGGGCAUUAACCUAAUACGUUAGUGUUUUGACGUUACCGACAGAAUAAGCACCGGCUAACUCUGUGCCAGCAGCCGCGGUAAUACAGAGGGUGCAAGCGUUAAUCGGAAUUACUGGGCGUAAAGCGCGCGUAGGUGGUUUGUUAAGUUGGAUGUGAAAGCCCCGGGCUCAACCUGGGAACUGCAUUCAAAACUGACAAGCUAGAGUAUGGUAGAGGGUGGUGGAAUUUCCUG
rnacentral:rRNA from 1 species